CCUCAAUUGGGUUCUGAUCUUGGCACCUACCAGUUGGGUGAUCUGGAAAAAGGCACUUUACCUCUCCGAGUCUUAGAUAAUAGUAUGUGUCUCAGAAGAGUGCCAUGUGGCUUAAAAAAUAAUGUAUGUGACAGUCCUUUGUAGUUAUAAAACAUGAUACCAAAUAUAAAUCAUUAGUAGUAUCUUCUUUCUGCCAGAAAACUACAACUAAUGAAUGCAACUCCUUCAGCCCUGACAUCUCUUUCAGUUCUUCAUCCAGUUACCAUCACAACGUUGUUAUUCUCAGAGAGAUUACUCCCUUAAAGGACUGAGAACUGAAGAGGCCUGGCACCUUGGAAGGGGGACAGUUGACAGCAAAGCCACCAGGGACUGCUAGGCCUGAACGACAAAGAAAAUUCCCAGCCUCGAGUUCAACCCCUCGCUCUGGAACUUGUGGGUUCAGUAAAUACUUAUCGACUGACUCACUAAAGGACAGGAGAUGGGCGCAUCUGUGGCCCUACCUUUCCCUGCUCAAAACAUUUUGCUGUGCUGACUUUUCAGUCUGGCUUACCAGGCCUUCCACAGUCCGGCCAAUCUACCUCGCUUCUUCUCUAUGCAGGGAUUAUUUUUCAGUCAAACUGGACAGCCUGCAGUGCCCAGAUGUUCCAUAAGCUCGCCUGUCUCCAUGUUUUUGGCAGGCCUGCUCCUUCCACCCAGACUACUCUCCUCCUCUCCUCCUUCAAUUACUCCCAGUUAAAAUCCUACCCCUCCUUUAAGACCCAUGCCACUUCCUUCAUGAAGCCUUCCAAGAUUUGCUGAGGGAGUGGGUUCACUUUUUCCUUUGAAUCUCCACAGCACUUUGACUCCCCUUUGAAGCUUAUAAACUGCUUCGUCUCCAUCCUAGAUUGUAAGCACCAAGAGUGCAAGGUUUGUGUUUGUUUCAUCUUUGUAUCCCUCUCUCUCACUCCCUAACAGAGCUUUGCAUACAUAGUAGGUGCUCAAUAAACAUUUCUUGAAUUGA